GGAGGGAUGGCCGAGUGGUUGAAGGCGCACGCCUGGAAAGUGUGUAAGGGUUAAUAGCUCUUCGCGGGUUCGAAUCCCGCUCCCUCCGCCA
rnacentral:tRNA from 3 species